GGCAGCAGAAAAGAAAGUGGUAAAAAUUACAUCUGAAAUACCACAGACUGAGAGAAUGCAGAAGAGGGCUGAACGAUUCAAUGUACCUGUGAGCUUGGAGAGUAAAAAAGCUGCGAGGGCAGCUCGGUUUGGGAUUUCUUCAGUUCCAACAAAAGGUCUGUCAUCUGACACCAAUAUGGU